rnacentral:rRNA from 1 species
UGCCCUAGUAACGGCGAGUGAAGCGGCAACAGCUCAAAUUUGAAAUCUGGCCUUCGGGUCCGAGUUGUAAUUUGUAGAGGAUGCUUUUGGUGCGGUACCUUCCGAGUUCCCUGGAACGGGACGCCAUAGAGGGUGAGAGCCCCGUCUGGUUGGAUACCAAUCCUCUGUAAAGCUCCUUCGACGAGUCGAGUAGUUUGGGAAUGCUGCUCUAAAUGGGAGGUAUAUGUCUUCUAAAGCUAAAUACCGGCCAGAGACCGAUAGCGCACAAGUAGAGUGAUCGAAAGAUGAAAAGCACUUUGAAAAGAGAGUUAAAAAGUACGUGAAAUUGUUGAAAGGGAAGCGCUUGUGACCAGACUUGGGCUUGGUUGAUCAUCCUGGGUUCUCCCUGGUGCACUCUUCCAGUCCAGGCCAGCAUCAGUUUGUUUCGGGGGAUAAAGGCUUCGGGAAUGUGGCUCCCUCGGGAGUGUUAUAGCCCGUUGUGUAAUACCCUGAAGCAGACUGAGGUUCGCGCUCUGCAAGGAUGCUGGCGUAAUGGUCAUCAGCGACCCGUCUUGAAACACGGACCAAGGAGUCGUCUUCGUAUGCGAGUGUUCGGGUGUUAAACCCCUACGCGUAAUGAAAGUGAACGCAGGUGAGAGCUUCGGCGCAUCAUCGACCGAUCCUGAUGUUCUCGGAUGGAUUUGAGUAAGAGCAUACGGGGCCGGACCCGAAAGAAGGUGAACUAUGCCUGUAUAGGGUGAAGCCAGAGGAAACUCUGGUGGAGGCUCGCAGCGGUUCUGACGUGCAAAUCGAUCGUCAAAUAUGGGCAUGGGGGCGAAAGACUAAUCGAA